AGACAUGGGCGACGUGGGUCAAAGUGCAAUAUCUGUUCUUGCCAUUAUGAUAUCUGAUACGCGUUCUAUUUGGAUCCACGACAUUAAACUUAUAUUUGCAAGUUGGCGGAGUGCUUGAAGCCUGCUUCCCCUCCGCCGCGGUUCUGCCCGGUUUUUGCACACGCAGAACAUAAAUGCACGGAACCCUAGCC